CUGGUGUGUUUCUAAAUAUGCAUGGGUGUUCUCCAUAUUGUAUAUGUAUGUUUUGAAAUUUUCCUUUGUAAAUAUGUAUUUUUGAGUCAAUAGCUUAAUAGACAACCACACUGAGCAGAUAUAAACUCAAAAUUUCUCAUGCUUAUCUUUAGGUAUAGAGCUGUGAAGGCCAGAGGCCUUUCACACAGUUCCAGCUUGUCUGAAAAUGAAAAAAAUUCUCCGUACCGAUAUGUUUGUUCAUUUAGCCAAUGUUUCUGAUUUAAAGAGGGAC